UACGGGGGGGGGCAAGCGUUGUUCGGAAUUACUGGGCGUAAAGGGCUGGUAGGCGGCCAACUAAGUCGGAUGUGAAAUCCCCAGGCUUAACCUGGGAACUGCAUCCGAUACUGGUUGGCUUGAAUCCGGGAGAGGGAUGCAGCAUUCCAGGUGUAGCGGUGAAAUGCGUAGAUAUCUGGAGGAAUACCGGUGGCGAAGGCGGCAUCCUGGACCGGCAUUGACGCUGAACAGCGAAAGCUAGGGGAGCAAACAGG
rnacentral:rRNA from 1 species